rnacentral:rRNA from 1 species
GAUGAACGCUGGCGGCGUGCCUAAUACAUGCAAGUCGAGCGAUGAAGAUUGGUGCUUGCACCAAUUUGAAGAGCAGCGAACGGGUGAGUAACGCGUGGGUAAUCUGCUUUUGAGCGGGGGACAACAACUGGAGACGAAUGAUAAUACCGCAUAACAACUUUAAACAUUAGUUUUAAGUGUGAAAGAUGCAAUUGCAUCACUCAAAGAUGAUCCCGCGGUCUAUUAGCUAGCUGGUGGGGUAAAGGCCCACCAGGGCGUUGGUACAUAGCCGACCUGAGAGGGCUGUUGACCCAAUCGGGACUUGGGCACGGCCCAAGCUCCUUCGGGGAGCCGCAAUAGGGGAACUUCGGCAAUUGGCGAAAGUCUGACCGCACCACGCCGCGUGGGUGAAGAAGGGUUUCGGAUCGUUAAACUCUGUUGGUAGGGAAAGACGUUCGGGAGGGUGGAAAGCUCAUGAUGUGACGGUACCUACCCAGUAAGCAACGGCUAACUUCGUG